rnacentral:misc_RNA from 1 species
GAAAUGCGAUAAGUAAUGUGAAUUGCAGAAUUCAGUGAAUCAUCGAAUCUUUGAACGCACCUUGCGCUCCUUGGUAUUCCUGGGAGCAUGCCUGUUUGAGUAUCAUGAAAUCUUCAAAGUAAAUCUUUUGUUACCUCAAUUGGCUUCUACUUUGGUAUUGGAGGUCUUUGCAGCUUCACACCUGCUCCUCUUUGUUCAUUAGCUGGAUCUCAGUGUUAUGCUUGGUUCCACUCGGCGUGAUAAGUUAUCUAUCGCUGAGGACACUGUAAAAGGUGGCCAAGGUAAAUGCAGAUGAACCGCUUCUAAUAGUCCAUUGACUUGGACAAUACUUUUAUGAUCUGAUCUCAAAUCAGGUAGGACUACCCGCUGAACUUAAGC